GACGAACGCUGGCGGCGUGCUUAACACAUGCAAGUCGAACGGAAAGGCCCUGCUUUUGUGGGGUGCUCGAGUGGCGAACGGGUGAGUAACACGUGAGUAACCUGCCCUUGACUUUGGGAUAACUUCAGGAAACUGGGGCUAAUACCGGAUAGGAGCUCCUGCUGCAUGGUGGGGGUUGGAAAGUUUCGGCGGUUGGGGAUGGACUCGCGGCUUAUCAGCUUGUUGGUGGGGUAGUGGCUUACCAAGGCUUUGACGGGUAGCCGGCCUGAGAGGGUGACCGGCCACAUUGGGACUGAGAUACGGACCAGACUGCUACGGGAGGCAGCAGUGGGGAAUAUUGCACAAUGGGCGGAAGCCUGAUGAAGCAACGCCGCGUGCGGGAUGACGGCCUUCGGGUUGUAAACCGCUUUCGCCUGUGACGAAGCGUGAGUGACGGUAAUGGGUAAAGAAGCACCGGCUAACUACGUG
rnacentral:rRNA from 1 species